UAUUUGGCUCAGAAUAAAUCUUUUCAAAUAUUUUAGAGUGUGAUUCUGUUGACAAUAUGGAGGUGCUGUAGGAUGUUAGGCACAUUAUUACCAGCUUCGCUCUGUUUUUGAAAGUUUUUAUUAUAAUUCUAUUGCUAAUAGUAUGGUUUACCUCCAUAUAAUAAUACAGCAGUCCCUCCUUAUCUGUUCAGAAUACAUUCUGAGAUCCCCAGUGGAUGCCUGAAAUCGCUAUAGUACCAAACUCUAUAGAUACUGGGUUUUUUGGUAGAUAUAGACACAGGCAUAUCCCUAUGAUAAAAGUUAAUUUAUAAAUGAGGCACAGAAGAGAUCAACAACAAUAACUAAUGAUAAAUAGAACAAUUAUAACAAUAUGCCAGCAUUCCUACCCUUGUGCUUUGAGGCCAUCAUUAAGUCAAAUAAAGCUUAAGUGAGGGAAGUGACUCCCGUAAGGGCGCAAAGCAGCGUGGCCGGGGUCCGAGCUGGGGUUCUGUCCCCGCUGGACUGGCACCCCAGCUGGACUGGCACCCCAGCUGGACUACCCCCAUGGAACUCAGCGCCAAUUACCUCCGGGAGAAGCUGCAGCGGACCCAGAGGUGGAGCACGUGGAGGUGGAGGACACGACCUUCAACCGUUGCGCCUGUAGCUUCCUGGUGGUGUCAGCCAAGUUCGAGGGGAAGCCGCUGCUUCAGAGGCACCGGCUGGUGAAUGCGUGCCUAGCAGAAGAACUCUCGCACACCCAUGCCUUUGAACAGAAAACCCUGACCCCAGAGCAGUGGGCCCAUGAGCAGCAGAAAUGAGGGACUGGAUCCUGCACAGUCAUUAAAUUAUAAAUCUGGA